rnacentral:rRNA from 1 species
GCAAGAUUAAAACUCAAAGGAAUUGACGGGGACCCGCACAAGCGGUGGAUGAUGUGGAUUAAUUCGAUGCAACGCGAAAAACCUUACCUACCCUUGACAUGCCACUAACGAAGCAGAGAUGCAUUAGGUGCUCGAAAGAGAAAGCGGACACAGGAGAUGCAUGGUUGUCGUCAGUUCGUGUCGUGAGAUGUUGGGUUAAGUCCCGCAACGAGCGCAACCCUUGUCUGUAGUUGCUACGAAAGGGCACUUUAGAGAGACUGCCGGUGACAAACCGGAGGAAGGUGGGGAGGACGUCAAGUCCUCAUGGCCCUUAUGGGUAGGGCUUCACACGUCAUACAAUGGUGCAUACAGAGGGUUGCCAAGCCGCGAGGUGGAGCUAAUCCCAGAAAAUGCAUCGUAGUCCGGAUCGUAGUCUGCAACUCGACUACGUGAAGCUGGAAUCGUUAGUAAUCGCGGAUCAGCAUGCCGCGGUGAAUACGUUCCUGGGUUUUGUACACACCGCCCGUCACCCCACAGAAGAUAUAUAUAGUGUUAUCUCGGGUCUCAAUAAGUCGUACAGCAAUAGU